AUAUUGGCGAGAGACCGAUAGCGAACAAGUACCGUGAGGGAAAGAUGAAAAGCACUUUGGAAAGAGAGUUAAACAGCACGUGAAAUUGUUAAAAGGGAAACGAUUGAAGUCAGUCGUGUGAAAGGCAUUCAGCCGUCUCUGGCGGUGUAUUUGCCUUUCACGGGUCAACAUCAGUUUAGUCCGGUAGAAAAAGGCUGGAGGAAGGUGGCACCCUCGGGUGUGUUAUAGCCUCCUGUCACAUGUGCCGGAUUAGACUGAGGAACGCAGCUUGCCGCAAGGCCGGGGUUCGCCCACGUACAAGCUUAGGAUGUUGACAUAAUGGCUUUAAACGACCCGUCUUGAAACACGGACC
rnacentral:rRNA from 1 species